CCGUUUGGAAGCAACAAACUAAUUGAAUGCGUCUAAUAAAUCUGUCAGUCUAUUUAUACGCAAGCUCUUGUAAGUUAGAUAGUUGACUUGAACCAUUUUUUCUCCGAAAACUUCGUAUCAAGUGUCGACCAAAGACAGGUUGUGAUCGUGCACUCCGAUUUUCUCGAAAGAAAAUGUUCAUUUUGUUUGAAGGGCAUGUAAAAAAAAAUGAAAUUCAAAAAGGAAAGCAAUAUCGAAUGAAGAAUAAUCGAUAAUGGAACCAAAAAUGAUCAAACAUAUGUAAAAAUAGGCUCAAUUUCGUAUCAUUUAAAUGUAUAUUACAACAUCAAUGUGUAAAUGUAUACCAACGAUUGAAAAGUAAAAGAAACAGAUAGAUACUUUGCAAUUACUCAAUAUCGGUAUAUCUCAUAUUGCAACCGAUAUGCCUCUGUAUUCAGAUAUACUAUAGAAUUACAGUUUAGCCAUCAUGUAAAGAAUUGUAGAAUCAUACGUUUUAUUGAUAUAUAUUUACAAAGGUAUAUAAAGUAAUAAAAUAUUAAUAAAUUCUUUAAAAAAUUUUUAUACAUUUUAAAAUUUUAAAAUAAUCAUUGAUUCAUGGAUCAUAUAUAAAUGUGUAAAUAAAUUGUUUUAAAAUUAUAAA